AUCUCCGGCCAUGCCAUCCUGAACAAGCCUAUCCCAUCUGAUCUCGGAAGCUAAGCAGGAUCAGGCCUGGUUAGUAGUUGGAUGGGAGACCACCUAGGAAGACCAGGUGCUGUAGGCG
rnacentral:rRNA from 1 species